UGAACGGCUAGCGGCAGGCUUAACACAUGCAAGUCNGGGUAUGUUUCGGACCAAGAGACCGGCGCACGGGUGCGUAACGCGUAUGCAAUCUACCUUUUGCAGAGGGAUAGCCCAGAGAAAUUUGGAUUAAUACCUCAUAGUAUAGUACUUUGGCAUCAAGGAACUAUUAAAGUCACAACGGCAAAAGAUGAGCAUGCGUCCCAUUAGCUAGUUGGUAAGGUAACGGCUUACCAAGGCUACGAUGGGUAGGGGUCCUGAGAGGGAGAUCCCCCACACUGGUACUGAGACACGGACCAGACUCCUACGGGAGGCAGCAGUGAGGAAUAUUGGACAAUGGGCGCAAGCCUGAUCCAGCCAUGCCGCGUGCAGGAUGACGGUCCUAUGGAUUGUAAACUGCUUUAUACAGGAAGAAACACUCCGACGUGUCGGAGCUUGACGGUACUGUAAGAAUAAGGAUCGGCUAACUCCGUG
rnacentral:rRNA from 1 species